rnacentral:tRNA from 1 species
AAGAUAUUAGUAAAACUCAUUACAUAACUUUGCCAUAGUUAAAUUAUAGGUUCAAUUCCUAUGUAUCUUA